GUUUAUUCAAAAGUCAAGGCCCUUAUGGGCAUCUGACAUAAACAUUACAACAAUGUAACAUACAACAUGGCAUAUGAAACAAGAUGUAAUUAUUGUGAACUGUGUACAAGGAGGAUGAGAAAUUUUAUUAAGGUAGUGGACCCGGAAUCACAAUUGGUAAACUAUAAACCCUCUAAAUAAUCUACAAACCCGAGAAAAAUAAGCAAACACUCGGUUGUUACCCAGUUUGAUUUCGGAUCCAUCACCCCAACACUAGCAAAUUAUCUAAGACUAGACAUCAUAUUUUACAGAAAAAAAAACUGCCAGUUUAAGUAAAGUUGAGGAUGAGAAAUGUUGUUAAGGUAGUAUGCCCGGAAACACAAUUGGCAAACUAUAAACUCACUAAAUAUUCUGCACCCAAAGAAGAACAAGCAAACACCCAGUUAUUACCAAGUUUGAUUACGGGCCCAUCACCUCAAAACUAGCAAAUUAUCUAAAACAAGACAUUAUGUUUUUACAAAACACUGCCAAUUUAAGUAAAGUCGUUCUAUCUUCGCAAUUCAUAAGUUUGGAGAAUUUAAAAACAUUAGGACGUUUAAAGUAGUAGUCAUCAAUAUAUUUUUUUCUAACAUUAUUAAAGAAUGUACAAUUAAAGAGAUAAUGAAAUUCAUCGCCUAACAGGUUAUUAUCACAUAAUUGACAGAUUCUUUGUUCUCUAGCAAUAUUUUAAAAUCUUCCUUUUUCUAUAGGUAAUUUAUGAUCCAAGACCCGCGGUCGAAAAAAUGUCAGUAACCGGGUGUAGUCCGAACAUAUAAGAACUUAAAAUCCAGUUGUAAAAUAUGUUUCGUUUCGUAUUACUGGCCGAGAAUUUUUGUUCCAUUUUCUUUCAGGUACUAAAUUAACGAAAGAAGGCCAAGGACUAACCUAGGGACGUCUGUUUAAGCCACUUUGGUAGUUAAUACAAGCCUGGGAAUUCAACAACAAAAAAUCGUAUUCAAUAUGACAUAUCACUACAUAACACCACACGUUCGGUCGAAUUGGUAUCCUUGAGUAGCAGGUAACGGCUGGUGAAUGUGUAGUUUAUCCUACUGCAAACCGAAGUGCGAAUCACGUGACAUAUGUUGGCAGUGAACUCGUGUUCAUUCAGUAGACAGUCGGGUAAAGCACGAGGAAAGACACAACAACACAAAACGAGGAAGGAAGUUACAGGCUUUAGAGCAGAUGCUUUUAAGAUUUCCAUCGAAAGGUAAAAAUAAAGACUGUAGAGAGCGUGUGUAUGUAGAGAGCCAGACAUUUUGUUCCAAUGGUAAUGUAAAAUGGUGCCAGGGGUUGUGUAUGUCUCCCACCUUCAAUAUACUAGUCUGCAGUAUCUUUAGUUGGAACUCUGAGGACACGAACGAAAAUUCUACAACAUCCACCAUGAGUUCCAAAGAGCAAGUGCUUUAUAGUGUAAAGCCAGCAUGACUGUGUGUUUUUCUCACAAAGCAACGAGAUGUGUCAUAGAAGCUGUACAUCUGGACAGAUAAGGCAUGUGAAUGGUUGUAUUCAAUGGCUGUGAGCAUGAAAUCACCUGGCCUUGUGCUGAAGACAUCUUCUGUGAGUCAAUCAACCAGAUGUAUACCUCUAAUUAAGUCCUGAAAAUCUCCAUGUUGAUGACCUAGCAGUCAGAAUGAGAGCCAAAGGGGAAAAAAGUCCAGAAUUCCAGCAGUUAUAAUCACCAGAAGCUCUGAUAUAUGCAUUCAUUCACUGUUACUGGAGACAUACAGAAAAUGUGGUUAAGAAAUUUCAAAAGACACCUGACAAGGUUUAAGUUAACUGUGAAAUGACAAAAAGAUGAGCAAUGAAUCUAGAUUCCAGGCCAAGAUGAACUUAUUCGUAUAUUCUUGUGAUUCAAUCAUAUACUAUGAAAAUGCUACAGUACAACUGUGAUUCACAUUAAACAAAAACUGUACAACUAUACAAACAGUCAUAACUUGCCAACUGAAGGACAAAGUAUCUGUUGAUUCAGUUGUGUCUUAGCCAAGAUGUUAACUUGGACCUGCUUCGCAGGGAGUCAUUGAUGAUCAACUAGGUAGUAGGACACACUUCACAGAUGGAACCUCUUUACAUUAUCUGGCUGGAAUUUAAAGAGCUGAGACUACCGUCAGGAAAAUCUUCCAUGUUAUAACACUAACCCAGAGUGUUGCUACCUGCUGAUGUCUUCCACACAGUAACAUUAACACAGAACAUUGGGCUACUGAGUCUGCCACACAGUAAUGCUGACUAGGACAUUGCUAUUUUGUGUUUCCAGGCAGUAACACUGACCCAGACUGUUGUUACUGAGUAGUCCGCACAGGAAAAACACACAGUAACACUGACUUAGGAUGUUGCUACUUAGUUUUCCAUGCAGUAACAAGGACCCCAAAGUGUUGUUUUUCUAUCAUCUGGAAAUUCAGACAGAUGACAGAAGUAAUACCUGUCAAUAAGCAUAAUAAUCACUUUACUAGUAAUCUGUUAAUAUUAACACUCCUGAUACUGAAGGCUUGAUUUGAUCUGCUGAACAUUGGAAAGAAAGCCGAGAUUAACAUGCAACUCACUGUGUGUGACAUAAAUGCAAAAUUCAUUCAAAUGUGACAGUGAAAGAUAGACAUUAGAAUUCAGUUAAGUUACAUUUAUGUAAUGUUCGAAGGUGAUUGUGAAAACUCACUGAAUGUGACAUUAAAGUUCAGGUAACAGUGAAAAACAGAUAGUAAUACUCUCUAGUAAAACUCACAAUGUGACCAUGUAUGAUUAGAUAUUAAAAUCAUGUUUAAAAGUGACUGUGUAUAUAAUAGUAAAAUUGGAAUGAUACAGGUUUUGAUUCUUAAAUGUCAAGAACUAAAGUGUAACUGAUUGUUCCAAUGUAAUUAUAUCAUUUGGUUGAAACAAUUAUCUAAAGAAACAAACAAGAAAUAACUGUUUGAUCAUUUUUGUGGUUAGUAGUUGCGUACAUUUCCCACGAAAGACCAGAGAAUCCACUUUUUGGAAGUCCACAAUCUCCCUUGAAUCACCUACACAUCUCCCAACACCAGUGGGGGAUUUACACCAAACUUCACAGGAGCAAUCGGUACAAAGCUUAGUUGUGCAUAUUGUUGGCAUUUUCCAGUUUGAUGAUUUUCAGCAGAGUUAUGGCACUCGAUUGAUCAAAUAUUAUGUUUUUGCCACUUAAAUUUUUGGAUGGAUUUCCACUAAACUCUCACAGGAGUGAUCAGUGGCAAGCAUCAAUGUGCAAUUUUUUGCAUUUUCCAGUUCGAUGAUUUUCAGCUGGGUUAUGGCCCUCGUUUCGACAAAUCUUAUCAUUUUUCGGCCAGUUCUCUUCUAUUAUUGGAU